rnacentral:misc_RNA from 1 species
AUUCGAUUUCUAUUCGAUUUUGACAUUAUUAACUUAGGAGAAUCGGGCCCCUGACAUUUCCUUGCGGAUUAAAAGAUAUUGCACCAUGCUGACACUACACGACACUAUAAAAAUAUUGUGCAAUGAUUAUCAGCUCCAGUUAAUUUUGCACUGUUCGUCAAGUAUUACGCAAUAAUCACAAUAUUGAUCGUCUUGCUAGGUUUGGGAGCUCCAUAGCUCUACAAUGCAAAUCUUCGUAAAAACCCUGACGGGUAAUACCAUCACCCUCGAGGUGGAGGCUUCAGACACUAUUGAGAAUGUGAAGGCAAAUAUUCAGGACAAAGAGAAUAUCCCGCCAGACCAGCAACGUCUUAUCUUCGCCGGUAAACAGUUGGAAGAUGGCCGCACUCUCACAAACUACAACAUUCAGAAGGAAUCCACAUUCCACUUGGUGCUCAGGCAGACAGGAGGAAGAGGUUGGAUUUAUGGACCCGAACGUAUACUAGCCCAGAAACAUUUAUUGAUGAAAAUGAUUUGUCGAAAAUGUUAUGGUCGUCUUCCCAUGGGUGCUACCCAUUGUCGUAAAGCUAAGUGUGGCUUCUCCACUGACCUACGUCCCAAAAAGAUGGCACCGUACAUGUGGUGAAAUUGUGUGGUUUAUCAUAUAUUGAGAUUGCAGAUGCUCAUAAUAUAAAAUUUUAUAUUCCCAAGCUUAAGUGCAAGCAGCCUAAAAGUAUACUAAUAGCGAUAAUGUCAAGGUAUACAAUGCAAAUCUUCGUAAAAACCCUGACGGGUAAGACUAUCGCCCUCGAAGUGGAGGCUUCAGACACUAUUGAGAAUGUGAAGGCAAAGA